rnacentral:rRNA from 1 species
UGGCCGACAGGCGUAGUCGAUGGACAACGGGUUGAUAUUCCCGUACCGGCGAAGAACCGCCCAAGCUAAUCCAGUAGUGCUAAGUGUCUGAAUCCCAGUGACUGAUCCCUUCGGGGUGACGCGUUGGGCCUAGCGCACGACCCCAUUCUGGUGCGGUUAGCGUAUUAACAGGUGUGACGCAGGAAGGUAGUCCAGCCGGGCGAUGGUUGUCCCGGUGCAAGUGCGUAGGCCGAGAGAUAGGCAAAUCCGUCUCUCACAUAGGCUGAGACACGAUGCGGAUAAAAAGUGGAUGAUCCUAUGCUGCCAAGAAAAGCAUCGACGCGAGGUUCCAGCCGCCCGUACCCCAAACCGACUCAGGUGGUCAGGUAGAGAAUACCAAGGAGAUCGAGAGAAUCGUGGUUAAGGAACUCGGCAAAAUGCCCCCGUAACUUCGGGAGAAGGGGGGCCUUCGACGUAUUAGGACUUGCUCCGAAAGCGUUUGGAGGCCGCAGAGACUAGUGGGUAGCGACUGUUUACUAAAAACACAGGUCCGUGCCAAGUCGCAAGACGAUGUAUACGGACUGACGCCUGCCCGGUGCUGGAAGGUUAAGAGGACCGGUUAGCCGCAAGGCGAAGCUGAGAAUUUAAGCCCCAGUAAACGGCGGUGGUAACUAUAACCAUCCUAAGGUAGCGAAAUUCCUUGUCGGGUAAGUUCCGACCUGCACGAAUGGCGUAACGACUUCCCAACUGUCUCAACCGCGAACUCGGCGAAAUUGCAUUACGAGUAAAGAUGCUCGUUACGCGCAGCAGGACGGAAAGACCCCGUGACCUUUACUAUAGCUUUGUAUUGGUGUUCGGUGUGGCUUGUGUAGGAUAGGUGGGAGACUGUGAAGCAUGGACGCCAGUUCAUGUGGAGUCAUUGUUGAAAUACCACUCUGGUCACUCUGGAUAUCUAACUUCGAACCGUAAUCCGGUUCAGGGACAGUGCAUGGUGGGUAGUUUAACUGGGGCGGUUGCCUCCCAAAAAGUAACGGAGGCGCCCAAAGGUUCCCUCAACCUGGUUGGCAAUCAGGUGUCGAGUGUAAGUGCACAAGGGAGCUUGACUGUGAGACUGACAGGUCGAGCAGGGACGAAAGUCGGGACUAGUGAUCCGGCAGUGGCUUGUGGAAGCGCUGUCGCUCAACGGAUAAAAGGUACCUCGGGGAUAACAGGCUGAUCUUGCCCAAGAGUCCAUAUCGACGGCAUGGUUUGGCACCUCGAUGUCGGCUCGUCGCAUCCUGGGGCUGGAGUAGGUCCCAAGGGUUGGGCUGUUCGCCCAUUAAAGCGGUACGCGAGCUGGGUUUAGAACGUCGUGAGACAGUUCGGUCCCUAUCCGCUGCGCGCGUAGGAAAUUUGAGAGGAUCUGACCCUAGUACGAGAGGACCGGGUUGGACGAACCUCUGGUGUGUCAGUUGUUCCGCCAGGAGCACCGCUGAUUAGCUACGUUCGGGAUGGAUAACCGCUGAAAGCAUCUAAGCGGGAAGCCGGCCUCAAGAUGAGAUUUCCAUACCUUCGGGUGAGAGGCUCCCAGCCAGACUACUGGGUUGAUAGGCCAGAUGUGGAAGUGCAGUAAUGCAUGCAGCUGACUGGUACUAAUAAGCCGAUGACUUGAUAAC